rnacentral:lncRNA from 1 species
UGAUUUUGCUAUUUUAUCUUUUAAAAUAUAUUCAAUGAUAUCCUGUUAGCAGCUCUUUUAACUCUACAAUGCGCUGUUCAUGUUUGGAUUUGGAUAGCAUGGUUUGUGCGAUUCAUGCAACUAUAAAUUUAUCGAAAUAAACAAUUAGUUUAAAUUUUGCGUCUGGAGAGUCAUCUAAUCACGUAGGUCGAAGAAAAUUAAAGUAUUGGAAGGUAGAAUUAUAAUUUUGGAAGGUUGAAUAGUUCGGAAUCAAAAUGGAGUGAAGUUUAUGUAAGAUUUAUACUUUUUUAU